rnacentral:rRNA from 1 species
GACGAACGCUGGCGGCGUGCCUAAUACAUGCAAGUCGAACGCAGUGGGGCCGGGUGAGUAACACGUGGGUAACCUACCAUCAGAGGGGAUAACACUUGGAAAACGGUGCUAAUCCGAUACUGAUGGAUGGACCCGCGGUGCGUUAGCUAGUUGGUGCGGUAGAGGCUCACAAAGGCCACGAUGCAUAGCCGACCUGAGAGGGUGAUGGGCCGCACUGGGACUGUGACACGGCCGAGACUCCUACGGGAGGCAGCAGUAGUGAAUCUUCGGCAAUGGACGAAAGUCGGACCGGUCAACGCCGCGUGAGUUAAGAAGGUUUUCGGAUCGUAAAACUCUGUUGUUAGAGAAGCGGUAUCUAACCAGAAAGCCACGGCUAACUACGUGCCAGCAGCCGCGGUAAUUC